GACGAACGCUGGCGGCGUGCUUAACACAUGCAAGUCGAGCGGUAAGGCCCUUUCGGGGGUACACGAGCGGCGAACGGGUGAGUAACACGUGGGUGACCUGCCCUCAGCUCUGGGAUAAGCCUGGGAAACCGGGUCUAAUACUGGAUAUGACUCCAUGACGCAUGUUGUGGGGUGGAAAGCCUUGUGCGGCUGAGGAUGGGCCCGCGGCCUAUCAGCUUGUUGGUGGGGUGAUGGCCUACCAAGGCGACGACGGGUAGCCGGCCUGAGAGGGCGACCGGCCACACUGGGACUGAGACACGGCCCAGACUCCUACGGGAGGCAGCAGUGGGGAAUCUUGCACAAUGGGGGAAACCCUGAUGCAGCGACGCCGCGUGAGCGAUGAAGCCC
rnacentral:rRNA from 1 species